GUUUCUGGGGUAGAGUCAUUGUCCACACAGGGAAAGGGCUGCCCAGCCAAGGGGUUACACACAAAAAAGAAUCAAGACCACUCACAAGAGGAGACAGGGAUGUGAAAAGCUCCCACUGCCAUGGACCAGCCUCUCAUCCCCAUGCCUUCCCCGCCAUGGUACCCAACAGGAUGUGAAAAGCUCCCACUGCCAUGGACCAGCCUCUCAUCCCCACGCCUUCCCCUCCGUGAAAUACACUUGUGCUCUCUGGAACUGUGAUCCACACUAAGCCUGUUUUCCUUAAGCUGCACUGUCACAGGGGUGAGGAAGGUGGUCAAGUCAGCUCAGCAUGGAGGCCAAGACUCCUCUUCCUCACCAUGGAACCUUCCCCAGCCAACUCCAAGGCUGGCAAGACCUUCACCUGUUGCAGAUGAACCUGACAUGCUGAAAUACUUAGUACUUCCACAAAUGCCUGGGCGUGGGAGUGCCAGCCUGGCACGAUGAAUUUAUUAAAGAAUGAAUACUUACAGAGUGAAAGUGUUGACAACUGGAAUUAGCUGAGUUGCUGAUGUACCAGGAAGGUCCUAGCCACCACAUGCUGCUGCUUUUCUGGUCUACAGAGCACCACUGGAAGAAGAAACAAUUCUCCCUAAGAACAGUACCAUCGCUUCCUUCCUGCCUCACUCUACGGGGAUCCGCUGCAGCUUGAACCCGAGGGUCCCCCACCACCAACGACUGGCACAGCCAGCAUGCAGAAGAGCCCAUGGGGCUGGGGAAGUGAAGGACAUCUUCCAUGCUGCCUCUCUCACUCUGGGUGUCUGGCUUGAGAAGGCCACCGAGAAGCUCUGUGUGUCUGCAUUGAUCGGGCUUUUCUGUUGUUCGGACGUUCCUCAAGGGACUGCACCACAAUGGGAACUGACCAUCUAGUGAAGGCACGUGUGUCCCAGGGGACUCUGUCGUCAGGGACGGAGGUCUGGCUGUCUCUUGUCCUGGAGGGAAGCUAUUGCAGAUGUCCUACCCCAGCAGCUGAGGUGGAGGGCAGAUAUGAAGUGUGUGUGGCUGUAGCAUCAUGAAGACCCAUGUUUUCAUGUAUUAGGGUGUCCCGUUUUCUUACUCCAAGAGAGGACAGGUGUCCCCAGGAGAAGGGCAAUGCUGACUUAGGCACUCUGCUAGACCCAGUGGCAUCCCUGUGUAGGUGAGAGGAAUCAAGGGUGAGCCAGCAAGGCGGCUCAGGGAAAGCCUCGUGAGGCCUUCAGCCACAGGCUCUUCUCUAGUGUGGUCUUCUACAACUUGGACUACGGCAAACAAGGCUUUUCAUUAAAACAAACUUUGUAAGGCAGCAUACACAAAGAAGGAAAA